rnacentral:sRNA from 1 species
GCCAGGCAUGAUUGGUGCAUGCCUGUAAUCCCAGCUACUCAGGAGGCUGAGGCAGAAGAAUCACAAUUUUCAGGGCAGCCUGAGCAAUUUAGGAAGACCCUGUCUCAA